rnacentral:pre_miRNA from 1 species
AGUUGGAUAGCUGAGUCAAAUGGUGGUUCCAUUCCCAGUUUUCCAAGGAAUCUCCAUACUUCUUUCCAGAGUGGUUGUGCCAAUUUGCAGUCCCACCAGCAGU